GUCAGGAUGGCCGAGUGGUCAUGGUGCCAGACUCAACAUCUGGUCCUCUGUAAGGAGGUCGUGGGUUCGAAUCCCACUUCUGACA